rnacentral:lncRNA from 1 species
AAUAAAAAUAGUAAAUAAAAGGGUUAAAUAAAAAAAUAAACUGCAGGGACCAAAAGGGAAAAUAACCCAAACUCAGUACGCGUCAUUCCCCAAAGGGUCGAUGGUCUGAGGACUAAAUUGAAUAUGUAACAAAAUUUAAAGCAUAAAUCAUAAAAAAACAAAAUAUAAAGGAUCGAAUUAAAAUAAAAUGGAAAAGUACAGGGCUUCAAAGUGAAAUUAUCCCAACCCCACAUCGUUUCCUUGGUU